rnacentral:rRNA from 2 species
GACGAACCGUGCGAACGUUGUUCGGAAUCACUGGGCUUAAAGGGCGCGUAGGCGGGCAUUCAAGUCAGGGGUGAAAUCCCCCAGCUCAACUGGGGAACUGCCUUUGAUACUGGGUGCCUCGAGUAAGGUAGGGGCAUGCGGAACUGAUGGUGGAGCGGUGAAAUGUGUUGAUAUCAUCAGGAACUCCGGUGGCGAAGGCGGCAUGCUGGACCUUCACUGACGCUGAGGCGCGAAAGCCAGGGGAGCGAACGGG